rnacentral:lncRNA from 1 species
CAUGAACCAGAAAAGCAGAGAUUCUGCUUGGCAGAACUAAAGGGGAGGUCUCAGGUUCUAGGUAACAGUCAGGAAGUAGUCAUGUUGAUGGAGCUUAUGAGCCAGAAAAACAUGAACGGUCAAAGGACAAAGAGAUCCACAGGAAAUAAGGAGCAGGGCAAGAAACUAGAAGAAGCAAAUGGCACUGACAAGGCAAACGGAAGCAUUAUUGUCCACCUGCCCUCUUAACUCAUUAAGACAAAGUCCACGGUGAAUCUCAGUCAACGGUGACUGAAAGCAGCUGAUUUGGUAGUUAAUGCAGUUGCAGGGGCAGGGGGCAUGGACAGACAGUUGUCUGCGGCAGUAGGAAGUAGGGGUGGGCAGAAGGCACUUCAGCCAACCUCCUCCCACUCUAACAAGCACAGUGCUGCUGUGCCUUGGCUCCAACACCUAUCUGGCGAGAAUCUUGUUUUCCUCUUCAGCAUAGCUGAGCUUGGAGGUUUUGAUAGUGUUUGACUUCAGCAAGUUUCCACAUGAGCCUCUGAUCUAAUGUUGGAACAAAGCAACUGCGGAGGGAGGCCCCGCUUGGAAUGAGUCAGGUGGAGACUGAUGCCUUGUUUCUUGUUAAACACGGUUCCCCCUCCAGGUAUGUACUUUUCCCCCAACUGUCAAACUCUGUCAACACAAGUCUGGGCUUCCCUCUCCCCACUCAGGCAAACACUGCUCAUAGCAGGAAAGGAACAAAAGUCCUUGGCUGAAAUGUGAAAACCUACACUUUCAGGGGGAGGAUCAAGGGCUCUUCACCUGGCCAAACAUUAUUUGAAUUUUGUAGCACAAGCACUGGAGUUUAAGUUACAUCCUGGAAUUCAAUAUUUGGCAUAGAACAAUAAUCACUGUUGAUUUCUCCUACUUGGUAUACCUGUUAAUUGCUUUGAGAUGAAGUGACAGACCCUAUCAGAGGAUUGUGAGUUCAUUUGCAUUACCUCACUUUUUUUUUUUUUUUUUUUUAAACUGAAGGAGAAGCUGAGUUUCAGAGAAGCUAAGUGAUUCCCCCAGGAUUAUAUAGCCACUUGAAGAGUGGGCUGUGAAGAAAGAACCGAAGCCUCCUAACUUUUGGUAAAGUGACUUGUCAACCAUACAAGUUUAAUUCUGUUUUUGUUGGUAUCAAUACCCAUGGAAAUUAAGCUAUUUGUCUUGGGUCAGCAUGAAAACACAUUUUUAAGAAGUCAUCUGCUAGUAAGUACUAGUAUUUACUAUUGCUAAAUAUUUUGACCCAAUUUAUCAGAAUCUCUAAUAUUGUGAUUGAGAGUAGAACUUUGGUUUGUAUCUCAGUCACACCAAUGAUUAGCUCUAUUAUCCUGGGAAAUUUUAGCUCUUUUCACUCCAAUUUCCCUUUUCUUAAAAUGGGAAUACUAAUAGCAUCUACCUGUGCCCAAGUGAUUAUGAGAAUUAAGUGAAAUUACACAUACACAGAGGUUAGAACUAUGCCAGGCACCUAGUAAAUACCUAAUACAUG